GGUUAAGCGACUAAGCGUACACGGUGGAUGCCCUGGCAGUCAGAGGCGAUGAAGGACGUGCUAAUCUGCGAAAAGCGUCGGUAAGGUGAUAUGAACCGUUACAGCCGGCGAUGUCCGAAUGGGGAAACCCAGUGCAAUUCGUUGCACUAUCGUUAACUGAAUACAUAGGUUAACGAGGCGAACCGGGGGAACUGAAACAUCUAAGUACCCCGAGGAAAAGAAAUCAACCGAGAUUCCCCCAGUAGCGGCGAGCGAACGGGGAGCAGCCCAGAGUCUGAAUCAGCUUGUGUGUUAGUGGAACGGUCUGGAAAGUCCGACGGUACAGGGUGAUAGUCCCGUACACCAAAAUGCACAGGCUGUGAACUCGAAGAGUAGGGCGGGACACGUGGUAUCCUGUCUGAAUAUGGGGGGACCAUCCUCCAAGGCUAAAUACUCCUGACUGACCGAUAGUGAACCAGUACCGUGAGGGAAAGGCGAAAAGAACCCCGGCGAGGGGAGUGAAAAAGAACCUGAAACCGUGUACGUACAAGCAGUGGGAGCACCUUCGGGUGUGACUGCGUACCUUUUGUAUAAUGGGUCAGCGACUUAUAUUCUGUAGCAAGGUUAACCGUAUAGGGGAGCCGCAGGGAAACCGAGUCUUAACUGGGCGUUAAGUUGCAGGGUAUAGACCCGAAACCCGGUGAUCUAGCCAUGGGCAGGUUGAAGGUUGGGUAACACUAACUGGAGGACCGAACCGACUAAUGUUGAAAAAUUAGCGGAUGACUUGUGGCUGGGGGUGAAAGGCCAAUCAAACCGGGAGAUAGCUGGUUCUCCCCGAAAGCUAUUUAGGUAGCGCCUCGUGAACUCAUCUUCGGGGGUAGAGCACUGUUUCGGCUAGGGGGUCAUCCCGACUUACCAACCCGAUGCAAACUACGAAUACCGAAGAAUGUUAUCACGGGAGACACACGGCGGGUGCUAACGUCCGUCGUGAAGAGGGAAACAACCCAGACCGCCAGCUAAGGUCCCAAAGUCAUGGUUAAGUGGGAAACGAUGUGGGAAGGCACAGACAGCCAGGAUGUUGGCUUAGAAGCAGCCAUCAUUUAAAGAAAGCGUAAUAGCUCACUGGUCGAGUCGGCCUGCGCGGAAGAUGUAACGGGGCUAAACCAUGCACCGAAGCUGCGGCAGCGACACUAUGUGUUGUUGGGUAGGGGAGCGUUCUGUAAGCCUGCGAAGGUGUGCUGUGAGGCAUGCUGGAGGUAUCAGAAGUGCGAAUGCUGACAUAAGUAACGAUAAAGCGGGUGAAAAGCCCGCUCGCCGGAAGACCAAGGGUUCCUGUCCAACGUUAAUCGGGGCAGGGUGAGUCGACCCCUAAGGCGAGGCCGAAAGGCGUAGUCGAUGGGAAACAGGUUAAUAUUCCUGUACUUGGUGUUACUGCGAAGGGGGGACGGAGAAGGCUAUGUUAGCCGGGCGACGGUUGUCCCGGUUUAAGCAUGUAGGCUGAUUGUCCAGGCAAAUCCGGAUAAUCAAGGCUGAGGUGUGAUGACGAGGCACUACGGUGCUGAAGUAACAAAUGCCCUGCUUCCAGGAAAAGCCUCUAAGCAUCAGGUAACAUCAAAUCGUACCCCAAACCGACACAGGUGGUCAGGUAGAGAAUACCAAGGCGCUUGAGAGAACUCGGGUGAAGGAACUAGGCAAAAUGGUGCCGUAACUUCGGGAGAAGGCACGCUGGUGUGUAGGUGAAGUCCCUGCGGAUGGAGCUGAGACCAGUCGAAGAUACCAGCUGGCUGCAACUGUUUAUUAAAAACACAGCACUGUGCAAACACGAAAGUGGACGUAUACGGUGUGACGCCUGCCCGGUGCCGGAAGGUUAAUUGAUGGGGUUAUCCGUAAGGAGAAGCUCUUGAUCGAAGCCCCGGUAAACGGCGGCCGUAACUAUAACGGUCCUAAGGUAGCGAAAUUCCUUGUCGGGUAAGUUCCGACCUGCACGAAUGGCGUAAUGAUGGCCAGGCUGUCUCCACCCGAGACUCAGUGAAAUUGAACUCGCUGUGAAGAUGCAGUGUACCCGCGGCAAGACGGAAAGACCCCGUGAACCUUUACUAUAGCUUGACACUGAACAUUGAGCCUUGAUGUGUAGGAUAGGUGGGAGGCUUUGAAGCGUGGACGCCAGUCUGCGUGGAGCCAACCUUGAAAUACCACCCUUUAAUGUUUGAUGUUCUAACGUUGGCCCCUUACCGGGGUUGCGGACAGUGUCUGGUGGGUAGUUUGACUGGGGCGGUCUCCUCCCAAAGCGUAACGGAGGAGCACGAAGGUUAGCUAAUCCUGGUCGGACAUCAGGAGGUUAGUGCAAUGGCAUAAGCUAGCUUGACUGCGAGCGUGACGGCGCGAGCAGGUGCGAAAGCAGGUCAUAGUGAUCCGGUGGUUCUGAAUGGAAGGGCCAUCGCUCAACGGAUAAAAGGUACUCCGGGGAUAACAGGCUGAUACCGCCCAAGAGUUCAUAUCGACGGCGGUGUUUGGCACCUCGAUGUCGGCUCAUCACAUCCUGGGGCUGAAGUAGGUCCCAAGGGUAUGGCUGUUCGCCAUUUAAAGUGGUACGCGAGCUGGGUUUAGAACGUCGUGAGACAGUUCGGUCCCUAUCUGCCGUGGGCGCUGGAGAAUUGAGGGGGGCUGCUCCUAGUACGAGAGGACCGGAGUGGACGCAUCACUGGUGUUCGGGUUGUCAUGCCAAUGGCACUGCCCGGUAGCUAAAUGCGGAAGAGAUAAGUGCUGAAAGCAUCUAAGCACGAAACUUGCCCCGAGAUGAGUUCUCCCUGAGACUUUAAGUCUCCUGAAGGAACGUUGAAGACGACGACGUUGAUAGGCCGGGUGUGUAAGCGCAGCGAUGCGUUGAGCUAACCGGUACUAAUGAACCGUGAGGCUUAACCUU
rnacentral:rRNA from 1 species